GCUGCUGCCCCUCUGUGUCACAGAUUGAAAAAUAUAUUUACAUUUAAUUUACUGAUGUUUACAGUUUAAAUGUUUGUGUUUUAUAUUUAUAUUAUGGUUACUGUAAGAAUUUGAGGACUUGAGGAGCUAUAUCUCUGUUCUGCUUUAAACGUAUAAGAUCUGAAGAUGGAGGACGGUAGCACUUUAGAUGGAGGUGCACCAGGCUCUGUGGGACACCCUGUCACCCCUGUGGAGCAACAGAACGGAGGAUUCCAGGAGAAGCUCAGCAGCUGUGGCGCUGUGAAGGAAGAGACGCAGGAGCCGAAGAGCUACGAUCACGGAGACGACCUUCGUACCGGUCUGAAUAUUAUCUGCGUUAAAGAAGAAGAACCCGAAGAAGACGAGAUCCUCUGUAAGACUACAGGACCCGUUAGAAAGCAGUCUGGAGUUGUGAUGAUGACACGCCCUAUGUAGUGCACUACACCUACAGCAGGAAGUGGCUUCAGAUGGAGCUCGUGCCUCUGAUUGGUGCUUGUGUUCUGUCCUUCCAGACUGUGAGGAGUGCAGAUCGUUCUUCUUCAACAAGUGUGAGCUUCAUGGUCCACCUCUCUUCAUCCCUGAUACUCCUGUUCCCACGGGCAGCGGCCAGCGAGCCAGACGAACCCUUCCAGCAGGUCUGGAGCUCGGAGAGUCUGCUGUUCCUGAUGCCGGUCUGGGAGUGUUUAAUACCGGCCAGACGGUACCAGUCGGUGCCCAUUUUGGAGCCUACCAGGGAGAAGUGGUGGAGAAAGAGGAAGCCAUGAACAGCAGCUACUCGUGGGUGAUCUACAGGAGUGGGCAGGGUGAGGGCUACAUAGAUGCCAAGAGAGAGACACACGCCAACUGGAUGAGGUUUGUGAAUUGUGCUCGUAACGAUGAAGAACAGAAUCUGGUGGCGUUUCAGUAUCGAGGGGGAAUUUUCUACCGCUGCUGUCGAGCCAUCAGAGCAGGACAGGAGCUCUUGGUGUGGUACAGUGAGGACUACGCUAAAGAUCUCAGCAGUGUGUUUGAUUUCCUCUGGAACAGAAAGUGCUCCACACACGGAAUGAACGACGCCCUGCUUCCAGGUUUCUCCUGCACAUUAUGUCCACUUAUUUUUGCAUCUAAAAACGGCCUCCACGACCACAUGAUGGGAAGCCACAGUGAGGAAUAUGAGGGAGCGUUAAACCUGGGACUGAUCACAUAUGAGGCUCAGAGCAGCUCGAGUCGUGAUCAAACGUCCUUCAGUUCUUUUAGCAUCAACACGUCUCACAAACAGCUUCAGAAGAAAACGUACCACUGCACAGUCUGUGGAAAGAUGUUUAACCGUGAGGAUAAUCUCCAAACUCACCAGCGCAUUCACACGGGAGAAAAGCCAUAUCAGUGUUUUCAGUGUGGCAAGAGUUUUACCCAACUGAGUACUCUCCAAACACACCAGCGCAUUCACACGGGAGAGAAACUGUACAACUGUCUACAGUGUGGCAAGAGUUUUAGUGAAAAGGGUUCUCUGAAAAACCACCUGCGCAUUCACACUGGAGAGAAACCCUAUCAGUGCUCACAGUGUGGCAAGAGUUUCACCCAUUUAAGUACUCUUCAAAAGCACCAGCGUGUUCACACUGGGGAGAAACCGUAUUUAUGCUCGCAAUGUGGGAAGAGCUUUUCACAACAAGGUUCUCUCCAAAAACACCAGCGCACUCACAGUGAAGAGAAACCAUAUUGCUGCCCACAAUGUGGAAAGAGUUUCCAUCGAGAGAGUCACUACCAAAUGCACCAGCGCAUUCACACAGGAGAGAAACCGUAUCAGUGCUCAAUGUGCGGUAGAUGCUUUAAUCAGCAGAGUCAUCUUCAGCGGCACCAGCGCGUUCACACUGGAGAAAAGCCGUAUCAGUGCCCACAUUGUGGGCGGGGCUUCACUCAACAGAGCCAUCUCCAACAACACCAGAGCAUUCACACCGGAGCAAAGCCCUAUCAGUGCUCAGAAUGUGGAAGAAGUUUUAAUCAGCAGAGUCAUCUUCAGCGGCACCAGCGCGUUCACACUGGCGAAAAGCCGUAUCAGUGUUUAGAAUGUGGGCGGGGCUUCACUCAACAGAGCCAUCUCCAACACCACCAGAGCAUUCACACCGGAGAGAAGCCCUAUCAGUGCUUAGAAUGUGGGAGGGGCUUUACUCAACAAAGUAGUCUCCAACAGCACCAGCGCAUUCACACCGGAGAGAAACCCUAUCAGUGUUCACAAUGUGGGAAGAGUUUUACUCAACAGAAUACUCUCCAAAAGCACCAGCGUGUUCACACCGGAGAGAAACCGUAUUCAUGUUUACAGUGUGGAAAGAGCUUCACGUAUUCAGGAAGCUUUAAAAGUCACAAGUGCGCCAAGACGGUCGCUAGCUCAUGACCAGAACACGGGUCGUGAACGGAUCAUGUUCCGCUGAAACUGUCCAUUUUGUUCCUGCAACAUGAAACUGAAACCCAUUAAAAAUCCUCACAGCAUUUAGCCGACGCUUUUAUCUAAAACGACCCAGAAUUGUGACCACAUGGAAGCAGUUGAGGUUUAGGGGCCUUGCUCAGGGGCCUGACAGUGCCGAGUGUUGGGCUAGAACCAGCACCCAGCAGGCGUGUGUAAAGCUUGUGAGAGAGUUUUCACAUGAACAGACUAAACCGUCUCUGCCACACAGACCUGUGAAGGAUGUAAAGUUGCCGUCGGUCUCCUGGUAGUUUUUCAGAUGAAGAUUCUCCAGUCUGGUCUGAAGGGUCGACAGAUCGAGUGAAACUGUUUAAGACUCUGAUCAGUUGUUGAGGAAUCACGAGUGUCUCUGAAUUUUUCUUUAUUUAACUCUUAACUUCUGCCUGUCCACUGUUUUACCCAGGAGCCUUUUUACUCCUCAACCAGUGUGAGUUCUGUGUGUUAUCAUGUUCUAGUGAUAGUGGAAUCCUCAAAAACAGCCUCAACAAAGGACAGAAAAACCUCUCAGUCUCAGAGAUAUCACAGAUACACCUCCACACUGGUGGAUAAUGCACUGCUGCCCAGAUUACACCAAGGAGCAUGGAUCCUCUCAAACGUUCUACCUUAUAAUUGUUUUCACAGUUGCUGCUACCUGUAGCUUCGUGAAGUCGCUUUCAGACAGAGCUUCCUGUGAAAUAAAAUAAAGAAAAGCUGAAUGAGUAAAUCUGA